GACGAACGCUGGCGGCGUGCCUAACACAUGCAAGUCGAACGGGACCGCAAGGUUCAGUGGCGGACGGGUGCGUAACACGUGAGGAACAUAGCCAAUGGCGGGGGAUAGCCGGCCCAACGGCCGGGUAAUACCGCGUACGACCUUUGGGGGGCAUCCCCUGGGGGUGAAAGCAGCAAUGCGCCGAUGGGGUGCCUCGCGGCCUAUCAGCUAGUUGGUGAGGUAACGGCUCACCAAGGCUACGACGGGAGCUGGUCCGAGAGGAUGACCAGCCACAUUGGGACUGAGACACGGCCCAGACUCCUACGGGAGGCAGCAGUGGGGAAUAUUGCGCAAUGGGCGAAAGCCUGACGCAGCGACGCCGCGUGUGGGAUGAAGUC
rnacentral:rRNA from 1 species